rnacentral:rRNA from 1 species
GGGUUGUGAGGUUAAGCGACUAAGCGUACACGGUGGAUGCCCUGGCAGUCAGAGGCGAUGAAGGACGUGCUAAUCUGCGAUAAGCGUCGGUAAGGUGAUAUGAACCGUUAUAACCGGCGAUUUCCGAAUGGGGAAACCCAGUGUGUUUCGACACACUAUCAUUAACUGAAUCCAUAGGUUAAUGAGGCGAACCGGGGGAACUGAAACAUCUAAGUACCCCGAGGAAAAGAAAUCAACCGAGAUUCCCCCAGUAGCGGCGAGCGAACGGGGAGGAGCCCAGAGCCUGAAUCAGUGUGUGUGUUAGUGGAAGCGUCUGGAAAGGCGCGCGAUACAGGGUGACAGCCCCGUACACAAAAUGCACAUACUGUGAGCUCGAUGAGUAGGGCGGGACACGUGGUAUCCUGUCUGAAUAUGGGGGACCAUCCUCCAAGGCUAAAUACUCCUGACUGACCGAUAGUGAACCAGUACCGUGAGGGAAAGGCGAAAAGAACCCCGGCGAGGGGAGUGAAAAAGAACCUGAAACCGUGUACGUACAAGCAGUGGGAGCCUCUUUUAUGGGGUGACUGCGUACCUUUUGUAUAAUGGGUCAGCGACUUAUAUUCUGUAGCAAGGUUAACCGAAUAGGGGAGCCGAAGGGAAACCGAGUCUUAACUGGGCGUUAAGUUGCAGGGUAUAGACCCGAAACCCGGUGAUCUAGCCAUGGGCAGGUUGAAGGUUGGGUAACACUAACUGGAGGACCGAACCGACUAAUGUUGAAAAAUUAGCGGAUGACUUGUGGCUGGGGGUGAAAGGCCAAUCAAACCGGGAGAUAGCUGGUUCUCCCCGAAAGCUAUUUAGGUAGCGCCUCGUGAAUUCAUCUCCGGGGGUAGAGCACUGUUUCGGCAAGGGGGUCAUCCCGACUUACCAACCCGAUGCAAACUGCGAAUACCGGAGAAUGUUAUCACGGGAGACACACGGCGGGUGCUAACGUCCGUCGUGAAGAGGGAAACAACCCAGACCGCCAGCUAAGGUCCCAAAGUCAUGGUUAAGUGGGAAACGAUGUGGGAAGGCCCAGACAGCCAGGAUGUUGGCUUAGAAGCAGCCAUCAUUUAAAGAAAGCGUAAUAGCUCACUGGUCGAGUCGGCCUGCGCGGAAGAUGUAACGGGGCUAAACCAUGCACCGAAGCUGCGGCAGCGACGCUUAUGCGUUGUUGGGUAGGGGAGCGUUCUGUAAGCCUGUGAAGGUGUACUGUGAGGCAUGCUGGAGGUAUCAGAAGUGCGAAUGCUGACAUAAGUAACGAUAAAGCGGGUGAAAAGCCCGCUCGCCGGAAGACCAAGGGUUCCUGUCCAACGUUAAUCGGGGCAGGGUGAGUCGACCCCUAAGGCGAGGCCGAAAGGCGUAGUCGAUGGGAAACAGGUUAAUAUUCCUGUACUUGGUGUUACUGCGAAGGGGGACGGAGAAGGCUAUGUUGGCCGGGCGACGGUUGUCCCGGUUUAAGCGUGUAGGCUGGUUUUCCAGGCAAAUCCGGAAAAUCAAGGCUGAGGCGUGAUGACGAGGCACUACGGUGCUGAAGCAACAAAUGCCCUGCUUCCAGGAAAAGCCUCUAAGCAUCAGGUAACAUCAAAUCGUACCCCAAACCGACACAGGUGGUCAGGUAGAGAAUACCAAGGCGCUUGAGAGAACUCGGGUGAAGGAACUAGGCAAAAUGGUGCCGUAACUUCGGGAGAAGGCACGCUGAUAUGUAGGUGAAGCGACUUGCUCGUGGAGCUGAAAUCAGUCGAAGAUACCAGCUGGCUGCAACUGUUUAUUAAAAACACAGCACUGUGCAAACACGAAAGUGGACGUAUACGGUGUGACGCCUGCCCGGUGCCGGAAGGUUAAUUGAUGGGGUUAGCGGUAACGCGAAGCUCUUGAUCGAAGCCCCGGUAAACGGCGGCCGUAACUAUAACGGUCCUAAGGUAGCGAAAUUCCUUGUCGGGUAAGUUCCGACCUGCACGAAUGGCGUAAUGAUGGCCAGGCUGUCUCCACCCGAGACUCAGUGAAAUUGAACUCGCUGUGAAGAUGCAGUGUACCCGCGGCAAGACGGAAAGACCCCGUGAACCUUUACUAUAGCUUGACACUGAACAUUGAGCCUUGAUGUGUAGGAUAGGUGGGAGGCUUUGAAGUGUGGACGCCAGUCUGCAUGGAGCCGGCCUUGAAAUACCACCCUUUAAUGUUUGAUGUUCUAACGUUGGCCCCUGAUCGGGGUUGCGGACAGUGUCUGGUGGGUAGUUUGACUGGGGCGGUCUCCUCCUAAAGAGUAACGGAGGAGCACGAAGGUUGGCUAAUCCUGGUCGGACAUCAGGAGGUUAGUGCAAUGGCAUAAGCCAGCUUGACUGCGAGCGUGACGGCGCGAGCAGGUGCGAAAGCAGGUCAUAGUGAUCCGGUGGUUCUGAAUGGAAGGGCCAUCGCUCAACGGAUAAAAGGUACUCCGGGGAUAACAGGCUGAUACCGCCCAAGAGUUCAUAUCGACGGCGGUGUUUGGCACCUCGAUGUCGGCUCAUCACAUCCUGGGGCUGAAGUAGGUCCCAAGGGUAUGGCUGUUCGCCAUUUAAAGUGGUACGCGAGCUGGGUUUAGAACGUCGUGAGACAGUUCGGUCCCUAUCUGCCGUGGGCGCUGGAGAACUGAGGGGGGCUGCUCCUAGUACGAGAGGACCGGAGUGGACGCAUCACUGGUGUUCGGGUUGUCAUGCCAAUGGCACUGCCCGGUAGCUAAAUGCGGAAGAGAUAAGUGCUGAAAGCAUCUAAGCACGAAACUUGCCCCGAGAUGAGUUCUCCCUGAGACUUUAAGUCUCCUGAAGGAACGUUGAAGACGACGACGUUGAUAGGCCGGGUGUGUAAGCGCAGCGAUGCGUUGAGCUAACCGGUACUAAUGAACCGUGAGGCUUAACCUUACAACGCCGAAGGUGUUU